rnacentral:lncRNA from 10 species
UGAACACAAAAUAUACUUCUUAGGCAAAUUUUGAUCUUGUUAUUCUAAGAAAUUGCAGACACAGGAGUAGCUCUGAAAAACUGCCCUUUUGUAAAAGAAAUUUAUAACUAUAAAAGAAAUCUACAUUAGUGAAGUAUCUGUAUCAGGAAGAGGGCUGGUUCCAGACAACUUCUAUCACCCCAGAGACUUUUCUCUGCAGAACAAGACACCUUUUAUUCACCAGACAUUGCCUCCCCUCACCCUCCCAGAACUUGUGCCCAUCCUCAGCAAGCCCCAAGCCCCUGUUCCUUUCUGUAACUCAGGACACUAUCUAAGCUUCAUUCAUCUGGCCCUUCUCCUAGUCUAUAGUUUGGGGGACUCCUGUGCAUAUAGAUGUAAUUAAAGUGGUGUUUCUCCUAUUAGCUUUUCUUAUGUCAAUUUAAUUCCUAGCCCAGCCAAAGAACCUAGAAGGGGAAGGGGAAGGGGAAGCCAUUUUUCCCUCCACGACCUGCUUUUCAAGAUCCCAGUUUGUUGGAACCACUUCAGAGUUAACCCUCUGUAAAUACUUGUCAGUCCUCAUCUUUUCAGUGUUUUCACCUGACAUUCACUCUUUAUUGCACUCUUACGUCUCCCAACAGGUUGCUCAAGAAACUCUCCCUUGCUGUGGACACUGCUGACUUCUGUAAAAUACAUUUACAGGAGGCCAUUAGUUUGGACUGAGCUUCUGCACUAGGCCCAACAGACUGAGACGGAGCAUGGACCCCUAUUAGAGGCCUGCUGGGCCUCCUCCAGCAUGGAAACAAAGGAAAAUCUUGAUUUCCUUCAAGGGAAAUUCCAGGGGCCUGGAGAGAGUCAUGCCCACAGGCCAGACCUUAACAUUCCUUUCUGCUGACCCCAAGUUUUCGACAAAGCCUGGCUUCCUUAACCAAUUGCAAUCAAAGAAUCCUGAAGCCGCCUAUGACCUUUCCAUGAUGGAAAAUCUAAUGGCCACUUUCCAUUACCACAUCCCAGGAGCAGUCCAGGUAAGUGGCUCCUUUUGUUUCUGGGGUCCAUCUCGCUCCUGGCUCUUGACGCCGAUGCUUCUCCUUCUCCUCCUGCAUUUCUUGUGCUCCUCCCCAAGGUUUGCCAGCGCGCUCACAACCCUUGCUUGGGAUUUAAAAUCUGAAGUGCGUCAUAACUCACCCCUGGACUCUGUUAUUCUUUUAUUGGUAUGCCAGAAAAAAAGAACCCCAAGCUCUCUGGGUGACCAAAUUGAUAUUUAAAGCAUUAAUUAUUAACUCUAUUCUUACAACCUCCAGAUUUUAUCUCCACUCAGAAUUAUAUGUACAGCUGCCUAGCUGAUUUCCAGACUGAAAUGCCUCUUUGACAUUACAGAUUAAAACUGAUCCCACUCUAUUGUCCAGGUCAUCUUCCUUGACUUGGCUGUGACCCAGACUUACUGUCUAAAUAAAUGGUGUGACGGCUCACCUAGGGACCCCAAUCCAGACUCUAGGAGAGUUUCUUCAGCCUGUAUCCCCCCAUGUCAUGAAUAAUCCAUUACCGAGUCCUGUUCGUUCUUCCUAUACAUCUCUCCAAAGGCUUCCCUCCAUUUCCACAAUGACCCCAACUGUUUCACCACUCGCUCCUCAAAGAACCUCUGG